rnacentral:lncRNA from 1 species
CGUCAGAAAAGAUACAAUUUAUUAGUCCCACAAGUUGAAAAUUUACAUUACCAUGGCAGAAAAAUGACAGUACAAAAGCAGCUAACAUAAAUAUCAUAGAGAAUAUGCCAACUAUGUAAUAUAAGAAGUUCAAAAUACAAUAAAUAUUCUGAGAAAAGUGGACGAGAGUAUUCAAAAUAUCUGUAUAUACAUACAGUAUAUUGGUGUGUGUGUGUUUGUGUGUGUAUAUAUAAUUCUCCAUCCACUAAACUAGAUAUGUGACAUGUCUGGAAAUAACUCAUGUACAUAAUUACACGUGAAUACAGGAAACAGUCACUCAAAAUAUACUUUUACAAGUAGACUACCGCAUAUGUACUCCGGCGACUUCAAUCGUUUCGAGUAGUAUCUGUAAAAAUUAAAGACGCUUCGAAUAAAGACAUUAAAAUGAUUUGAAAACAUGGGGGAACUGAAUUUUCAGUAACACCGGCAUGAAGCGUCGGAAAGCGGUAAAACAGCCGCCGCUUCAUCGUUUAAGCCUCACGACGUUGCUAAUCGCGGUUUCUGCUACUCGCGGUUUCUGCUACUCGCGGUUUCUGCUACUCGCGGUUUCUGUUUCCCACCUUUGCCGUGCGCCGCCGAAAGCAAGACACCAGCUGCAUCAUUAGGACCACGCGGUCGCCCUCACAUCGGUCCAAGCGGGCUCGGUCCUGUCCAGAUGGUUUUCACCAUCUUAACUGGUAUCCGAAAUACUUUUAGACAGAACUCCUGCUUCUUACACUUUCUAGCAAGCUUUGUGCUGCACAAUUACUUUUAAUUACGUUUACAGGUAGUCGGGGGUGGGGCUGCCCGCUGCAGUGCCUGUUAAAAAUUAUUGUAGUCUGCAGGCGAUUUCCGUGAACGGGCAAAACAGUGCUAAUUGGUAUCGAAAUCAAUACAAAUCGAGUUUUUGACAAACCCAACAUACAGAACCUUUCUUGCAAACGCACACAAACAGGAAUAAAAGCGACAGGAGCUGCUUCCCA